rnacentral:sRNA from 1 species
UCUGGAGUGGCGAGUAGGUGGGGAAGGAAGGGGAAGGGAAGUAGGGCAGCCCUGGUGGCUGUCCGGCGCCUGGACCCGGACCACGGAAAGCUCUCUACUGCCGAACGCCUGCGUUCGCUUCAGCGCACACACACCCGAUCAUCUACGUACGAGACUUGGUCCUCUUCGGGGGGCGAGGUUUUGCGAGAGCCGUCGACUGCGACGGUCCUUGUUUGACAAUAUGGGUUCAGGGGAAAGGAUGUGGGGAUGACCUUCGGGUCGUCCUGCAUGGGAAGUGGAUCGGGAUCAUGAGAUGAUCCGGUCAAGCGAUUAAGGGCGCACGGAGGAUGCCUAGGCACGGACAGGCGAGGAAGGGCGCGGUAAGCUGCGAAAAGCAUCGGGGAGCCGCACGCAGGCGUUGAUCCGGUGAUGCCCG